GGUUUCCUUCGGGGUCGGGUGAAAGUCCCAACCGGCGGUGAUCCGCCUGCGAGCGCCAGAGCACAUGCUCCGCCUCCGCAGCGCGGCAAGUCCGUGACCCGAUUGCCAUUUCCCCCAAGCUCUCGAGAGCCUGCGGCGCAAGGCAAGCGGUGGACCUGGUGAGAUUCCAGGACCGACAGUACAGUCUGGAUGGGAGAAGGAGCCG
rnacentral:ncRNA from 3 species